rnacentral:rRNA from 1 species
UACGUAGGGUGCGAGCGUUAAUCGGAAUUACUGGGCGUAAAGCGUGCGCAGGCGGUUUUGUAAGCCAGAUGUGAAAGCCCCGGGCUCAACCUGGGAAUGGCAUUUGGGACUGCAAGGCUUGAGUGCGGCAGAGGAGACUGGAAUUCCUGGUGUAGCAGUGAAAUGCGUAGAUAUCGAGAGGAACACCUGCGGCGAAGGCGGGUUGCUGGGCUGACACUGACGCUGAGGCGCGAAAGCCAGGGGAGCGAACGGG